rnacentral:rRNA from 1 species
UGGGUAGUCCGUACGAGCGCACCCUAUCCUUAGUUGCCAUCAGUUCGGCUGGGAACUCUAGGGAGACUGCCGGUGACAAACCGGAGGAAGGUGGGGACGACGUCAAGUCAUCAUGGCCCUUAUGGGCAGGGCUACACACGUGCUACAAUGGCCGGUACAAAGGGCAGCGAAGCCGCAAGGUGAAGCGAAUCUCACAAAACCGGUCGUAGUCCGGAUUGCAGUCUGCAACUCGACUGCAUGAAGCUGGAAUCGCUAGUAAUCGUGGAUCAGAAUGCCGCGGUGAAUACGUUCCCGGGCCUUGUACACACCGCCCGUCACACCAUGGGAGUGGGCUGUACCAGAAGUAGGUAGUCUAACCUUCGGGAGGACGCUUACCACGGUGUGGUUCAUGACUGGGGUGAAGUCGUAACAAGGUAGCCCUAGGGGAACCUGGGGCUGGAUCACCUCCUU